AAAGGUGGAAAGGUAAACCAAGAUUAGAAAUACAAGAAAGGGGAAAGGAAAGGGAAGGGAAAGGGAAAAGGAAAAGGAAAAGGGAAGGGAAGUGGUGAAAAACAGAGUGAAAAAAGUAAAAAGAGUUGGAGGGAAAAAGAGAGGGCAUUGGGGAGGAGCGGUGCUGCCUCAGGUCCUUCCCCGCCGUGGGGCGAAGGAGCCGUUUGAUGCCCGGGAGGGAGUGCAGGUCCCGGUGGCUCCCGGGGGACGGAGCGGUGGCUGUCAGCCCGAGACUCCAACUCCCGGCAGGCCGUGCUGCCGGCGCGGCGUGUGACGCAACGGCUAUCGCGGCACAUGAGUGGCUGUCAGCCCGAGACUCCAACUCCCGGCAGGCCCUGCUGCUGGCGCGGCGUGUGACGCAACGGGCGACGCGGCCCGGCAUUUUUCUCUAAAUCGGCAGUAAAUACAGCUGAGUAAAAUUAGCUUGGUUUUCUUCCUUCUUUUGUAACGGAACUGUUUUUAUUAAAAAUCCUAUUUGAAUAUGUGGAAAAAGUGGGGAUGUCCUGUAAUAUAUCGUCGCUUUUCUUGUUUACAGGGUGCUCAGAAAGCAUGCGUCCCUUAGAGUCCCACGGAAAGGUUCUCAGUGCGCUCUCUAUCAAGUGCUAUGAGUCUUGAUAAAUUGGAGAAGAGCCCAAGAGAAAUUUUUCAUCCCUUGAUAUAAAAGGGAUCGGUGAAUUUUAACUUUGGAGUCCACUAUGCUAAGGAUGCUCAGCUUACAGGUGAUGAAAUGUUCAGUAAUGUAUUUGCUGCAGCUCUGCUUACCCAAGCUUUGGGUUCCUUCUGUCCCACUGGGAGUUGCCCAGUUUGGUUGCAUCUGGUGAAAUUCACCCUGAGACCUUACAGAACUAGCUCCAACUACGUGAGAGCCAUUUGCAGUUCUCUCCAGACACCUGGAGAAUGGGUGACGUUUCUGAGGAUCCGGCGAGCGUGCUUCUAUCAAAACUCAGUCUGUGAAAUUUCUGGGGAAAACCCUUCUGUGUCCUGAAGGGUUCAAACUCUGGCGAGGAUCCAGUUAUCAGGUGCUCACCUGGAUGGUUCCAGCUGCCAAAGGUAACACUUGUACUCUUGCCCUGUAGUUUACAUCUAUUGUAUUUUUGUUAUUUUGCAAGAUUUUUUGUCUUUGCAAAAUACUGUGCAUUUCACUCUUUGGAACCUCUCAGAUGGUUCUUUGGUGCAGCACCACCCCAUGGGACACUUGGCUGCUGUCCUGAAGGGGUUGGUGGCUGGAAUUGUGAAUCCUGGAGAGUUUAUGAGUCUUCUGUCCCCAGGGAGGUAUCAUGCUUUGUUUACUCUUGUUCUGUUGGUUAGGCGCUGCUUCUCGUUGCAAGUACGAAUUUCAAACUGCCCUGUUCUUUUUUUAACUGUUUUCCUGGUUCUCUCCGCCCGGCAGGGAAAGACUCUCGUAUCCUUGUCGUCGGGCUCGGUGCUGUCCAAGAAGAUACGGGGACUAAAAAAAUCAUAAGAAGCAAAAUAUGACUGCAGGGAAAAGAAGCUGGAGAGAACAGAAGACUCAUCACGGCGGGACAGCGUGAGGACUGAAAGUGUAAGAAGAUGUGGAGGGAAAGAGAGAAUCUGACAGGAGCAGCGAACGCAUGAGUGCACGAAUUUUGCUUUUUGCUUGGAUGUAAACUCAGGAGUUGAGAGGAAUUUGGGAGUGAGAAGGGACAUUUCAGAAGGAGAAGAAGAAAAAGAAGUUGUUGCUACAGUCCUGGCAAAAGCUUUUGUUCUAGCUAAUAAAAGAAGUUAGUUUAAAAAACAAAAAGGAAAAAAUGUAGUGUUUUUUUUUUCCUUCACUAUGAUAUUCAUUGGUGGUAUAUGGUGUGUUGUUUUAUUUCUUGGUAUUAUUAACUCUGUGUAAAUUGUUUUUUGAGUGAAGCUGACUUUCUGGAUGGGUUGGUUUGUAUUUGAGGCAGGAUUAAUUUCAGUAGGGUUCUUUCAUAGAUUUCUGAUGGGUAUUACUGGGAUUUUGGUUUUGUUUACUGUAUGUAUGAACCUAGAGCUUUGGUAGGGCCAGCUGGGCUGCUGGAGUUUUGGGUGUGAAUUUAUUAGAUGGCUUUUGUUAGAUGCAGUUUUUAAUUUUUGAAAUGUUUUUCAAUGUAGUGGUUUUAAGGUGGUUUUUAAGAAUUCAUUGUAUUGCUUUAUCUUGUUUGUAGUUGGUGUAUGAUAAGGGAUGUGGUGUGAGUUCUUGAACAUUAUGGUUUUGGUGUUCCUAAGUUCUGAUUUCUUUGUGGUUCAAUAUUUUUUUUUAUUUUUAUUUUUUGGGACAGGGGCAUUUAUAUGGUGGGUUUUUAUAGGCAAUAUGUUUUUUAAUUUAGGUAGUGAUAUUUUUUAAUAUUUUAAUAGUUUAGGUUUUUUAUUUUCAUGGUUUUAAUUAUUUUUUUUAAUUUUUUGAAAUAACUUUUAUAGAUUACAUGUUAUUAUUUGUGCAUUAACAUAAAGGUAGAGCUUUGGGGACUUUUUUUAGUAAUGUUUAGGGUCAGUUGUGCAGUUUUGAGUCUAGUGCGUUGGUUUGAUUUAAUUUUUAAUGGGUGUUUGUUUUUAUUAGCAGUUGUGUCAUUUUCAAGGUGUGUUUGAGUUUUUUGGGGUUUUUGAGAUACUGGUUUAGGAGGAAGUUUAUGAUGAGAAUGUGCGGAGGUUUUGGGCUACUUUAUAGUGAGAUUUAAAAUUUAUUUACAGUUAGGUUUAUUUGAGUUUUUAUUAGGGUUCAGUGACGUUGUGGGAUGUUUGUUCUGUUAGUAACAGAAAUAGGUUUUGUUUUGCUGUGCUGCGAUGGGAUGGGCGUGUGCUGCGUGCCGGUGCUGACAAAGGUACAGUAUUGUUGUGGCUCUGGUGCGUCGGGUUAAUGAACUGACAUGGUUUAAUAUAGAGAUGAAAAUAGAAAUAAAUAUACAUUUAAAAAUAAAUAUAACAUUAGAGUGGUAAACAUAAAUAUAGAUAACAGAUACAUACAUAAAACUAUAAUAUAUGGUAUAUAAUUGUAACAUGUUAUCAUAUAGAUAAAUGAUAGUCUAUUU